ACGGGUGAGUAACACGUGGGUAACCUACCCAUCAGAGGGGGAUAACACUUGGAAACAGGUGCUAAUACCGCAUAAUAGUCGACACCGCAUGGUGCUGACUUGAAAGACGCUUUCGGGUGUCACUGAUGGAUGGACCCGCGGUGCAUUAGCUAGUUGGUGAGGUAACGGCUCACCAAGGCCAUGAUGCAUAGCCGACCUGAGAGGGUGAUCGGCCACACUGGGACUGAGACACGGCCCAGACUCCUACGGGAGGCAGCAGUAGGGAAUCUUCGGCAAUGGACGAAAGUCUGACCGAGCAACGCCGCGUGAGUGAAGAAGGUUUUCGGAUCGUAAAACUCUGUUGUUAGAGAAGAACAAGUAGGAGAGUAACUGCUCUUACCUUGACGGUAUCUAACCAGAAAGCCACGGCUAACUACGUGCCAGCAGCCGCGGUAAUACGUAGGUGGCAAGCGUUGUCCGGAUUUAUUGGGCGUAAAGCGAGCGCAGGCGGUUUCUUAAGUCUGAUGUGAAAGCCCCCGGCUCAACCGGGGAGGGUCAUUGGAAACUGGGAGACUUGAGUGCAGAAGAGGAGA
rnacentral:rRNA from 1 species